GACGAACGCUGGCGGCGUGCUUAACACAUGCAAGUCGAACGGAAAGGCCCUGCUUUUGUGGGGUGCUCGAGUGGCGAACGGGUGAGUAACACGUGAGUAACCUGCCCUUGACUUUGGGAUAACUUCAGGAAACUGGGGCUAAUACCGGAUAGGAGCUCCUGCUGCAUGGUGGGGGUUGGAAAGUUUUGGCGGUUGGGGAUGGACUCGCGGCUUAUCAGCUUGUUGGUGGGGUAGUGGCUUACCAAGGCUUUGACGGGUAGCCGGCCUGAGAGGGUGACCGGCCACAUUGGGACUGAGAUACGGCCCAGACUCCUACGGGAGGCAGCAGUGGGGAAUAUUGCACAAUGGGCGGAAGUCUGAUGCAGCAACGCCGCGUGCGGGAUGACGGCCUUCGGGUUGUAAACCGCUUUCGCCUGUGACGAAGCGUGAGUGACGGUAAUGGGUAAAGAAGCACCGGCUAACUACGUG
rnacentral:rRNA from 1 species